GACGAACGCUGGCGGCGUGCCUAAUACAUGCAAGUCGAGCGCAGGAAAUCAUCCGAACCCUUCGGGGGGACGUUGAUGGAAUGAGCGGCGGACGGGUGAGUAACACGUAAAGAACCUGCCCUCAGGUCUGGGAUAACCACGAGAAAUCGGGGCUAAUACCGGAUGGGUCAUCGGACCGCAUGGUCCGAGGAUGAAAGGCGCUUCGGCGUCGCCUGGGGAUGGCUUUGCGGUGCAUUAGCUCGUUGGUGGGGCAAUGGCCCACCAAGGCGACGAUGCAUAGCCGACCUGAGAGGGUGAUCGGCCACACGGGGACUGAGACACGGCCCAGACUCCUACGGGAGGCAGCAGUAGGGAAUCUUCCACAAUGGACGAAAGUCUGAUGGAGCAACGCCGCGUGAACGAUGAAGGCCUUCGGGUCGUAAAGUUCUGUUGUAAGGGAAGAGCAAGUGCCGCAGGCAAUGGCGGCACCUUGACGGUACCUUGCGAGAAAGCCACGGCUAACUACGUGCCAGCCGCCGCAGUAA
rnacentral:rRNA from 1 species